GAUCAUGGCUUAGGAUGAACGCUGGCGGCGUGCUUAACACAUGCAAGUCGAACGAAGCACUUUAACCUGAUUCUUCGGAUGAAGGUUUUUGUGACUGAGUGGCGGACGGGUGAGUAACGCGUGGGUAACCUGCCUCAUACAGGGGGAUAACAGUUAGAAAUGACUGCUAAUACCGCAUAAGACCACGGAGUCGCAUGGCUCAGUGGGAAAAACUCCGGUGGUAUGAGAUGGACCCGCGU
rnacentral:rRNA from 1 species